rnacentral:rRNA from 1 species
AUUGAACGCUGGCGGCAGGCCUAACACAUGCAAGUCGAGCGGAGCGGCGGUCGGGUGAGUAAUGCCUAGGAAUCUGCCUGGUAGUGGGGGAUAACGUCCGGCAACGGGCCCUAAUCCCGCCUCCUAUCAGAUGCGCCUAGGUCGGAUUAGCUAGUUGGUGGGGUAAAGGCCUACCAAGGCGACGAUCCGUAACUGGGCUGAGAGGAUGAUCAGUCACACUGGAACUGGGACACGGUCCAGACUCCUACGGGAGGCAGCAGUGGGGAAUAUUGGACAAUGGGCGAAAGCCUGAUCCAGCCAUGCCGCGUGUGUGAAGAAGGUCUUCGGAUUGUAAAGCACUUUAAGUGGGGAGGCGGUACCAACAGAAUAAGCACCGGCUAACUUCGUGCCAGCAGCCGCGGUAAUUG